AAGAGAGGAGGAGGUGGGCUGGUUUCUGCAGCCUGUGAUGGGGACAGACAGACAGACAGACGGACCGGAGGAGGAGGGGGACGGGGUGAACCGGGCGGUCUCACGGUUCUUUUGUUUGCACAAACAGCCUCAGUACUCAGUAGAGUUUCUAAGGUGCAGACUUUCCCAUGACACAGAGAAACCAGUGAAAGCUGCAGUAUUAAACAGCUGCUACUGCAAGAAUAUAUGCAAGGAUUACUGCAUAAAGCUUUCAUAGUAUAAUGCUGCAUAAAAAAAACCCCAAAUAAAUUGUGAUAAUGUCACAUGCCUGUUCUCCCUGAUUGCCUGGCAACCCCAAUCACAGUGAAGGAUUAGCCUCUCCUACUGGGACCCUAUAUAACCUGGGAAAAACUAAGAUGGCAGUCUCUCUCUCCAUCUCCCUCCUGGAACGCUGGUACCUUUCAGGCACCCAACUUGGUUUUGUUUGGUUUGAUUUUAUUUAGUUAUCCUUCAUGUUACACAUACUUUAGGUUAGCACUUCAACUUCACAGCACCCAACACCUGCACCUCACUACUGACUUUGCACACUUGCUGACUUUAGUUUGCGUCAAUUAAGUGAUGUUAAAUAAAUUCCCCUGUCUGUUGUUGUGUGGACUUCCUUUUUUUCUUCUGCUCCUGAAUGAGCUGGGCAUAACAAGUAUGUCAAAAAGAAUCAUACAAAAGCUUGAGUAUACUGUAUCAUGUCAAAAAAGUCAUAGUAUGCUGAAAAAAGUCGAACAAAAGUCUUA